UACAGAGGGUGCGAGCGUUAAUCGGAAUUACUGGGCGUAAAGCGUGCGUAGACGGUAGCGUAAGUCAGAUGUGAAAGCCCCGGGCUCAACCUGGGAACUGCAUUUGAGACUGCUCUGCUCGGGUGCGGAAGAGGGAAGCGGAAUUUCCGGUGUAGCGGUGAAAUGCGUAGAUAUCGGAAGGAACACCAGUGGCGAAAGCGGCGCGCUGGACCUCUUCUGACGCUGAGGCGCGAAAGCCAGGGGAGCAAACGGG
rnacentral:rRNA from 1 species